CCCAAUGCAAAGCUGGUGACCUCGGCCUACUGAGGCCUUGCUGUGGUAUUCCAUCUUCUGAAAGCUCUGGAGCCUCCACAGGAAAUGCAUCUUCUUUGUCUUCUGCAUGGAGUGAAGUUCAAUCUGAAGCAGUGAGAGUAAGAAGUGAGAGUGGAGUGUAGCAAGACAAAAUGUCCACUAUCAGGCUAAACAUGCCCAUCCACCGAAGGUAAAAGGAAUGGUUUAGGAAUGGAGGCACCUGUCAACCACCAGGACGUUUUUUUCACUGGCAUCUCAUUAUAUUU
rnacentral:lncRNA from 1 species